AUGAUUAUACCUUCUCUACAUAACAUCUGGACCUAUGGAACAUCUGCACAGCUUUUCAUCUGGAUGUUUGGCAAAUACAGAGACAGUGUUUCCUUUCUAAAUCUAAUUCUUACACAGUGUUAUUCUCAUAGCAUAUUUGUUAAUGCUUCUAAUAUCCU
rnacentral:lncRNA from 1 species